rnacentral:tRNA from 2 species
GGAAUUGUAGUGUAGAGACCUAACACGCCACUCUGUCACAGUGGAGAUCGCGGGUUUGAAUCCCGUCAGUUCCGCCA